GUUCUCCCAUCACUAAGCUUUACUGACCCAGAAGAUGCUUCAUAUAUUCAUUCACUGGAUACUAUGAUCCAAGGCCCAGAGCCCAACCACCAUCUCCUUUACCUUUUUUGGCUCUCAGCACUCGUCCCAGCCUUUGAGCCUCCUGCCUUCGCGACCCACCAUGGGAUGAAAUCUGGAUGAGAACAUUGGCUUCUGGCAGAUCGAAGGACGUGUCACCCACCUACAACAGAGCAACAGCCUCUGAGCAGGAUCUUAAUUCCACGUAUCACUAACAAACAAUAAAUACAAAGCACACCUUUCUUUGUGAGCUGCAAUAUGAAGAUGUCAAAUGCACACCAUGCAUGUGUAACUUCAAUAAAGUUGACUCUGACAACAGGUA